UACGUAGGCAGCGAGCGUUGUUCGGAGUUACUGGGCGUAAAGGGUGUGUAGGCGGUCCUCUAAGUUUGCUGUGAAAUCUCCCGGCUUAACCGGGAGGGUGCGGUGAAUACUGAGGGACUAGAGUACGGGAGAGGAAAGUGGAAUUCCUGGUGUAGCGGUGAAAUGCGUAGAUAUCAGGAGGAACACCGGUGGUGUAGACGGCUUUCUGGACCGACACUGACGCUGAGACACGAAAGCGUGGGUAGCAAACAGG
rnacentral:rRNA from 1 species